ensembl:lncRNA
AAAAACAUUACGACCCGGCUGUCUAGGGUUGCUGAGGAGCAACACAAAAACAGGACAAACGCUGGUUUCCAAGGGGUUAGAUGGGUAUUUAUUUGAAAGAGUAAGUUUACAACAACACAACAUGUGAGCAGAAAAAUCACAGUCUGUCUUUAGUUCAACUGAAAAUAUUAGUUUUUGUCUUUUUUAUUGACCAAACUUUUCAGGAAGUAGAUGAAGAAUAAUUAAAGCUCUCAUGUAGAAGCCCAACUUAUUUUGGAUCCUUGUAGAGAGUUUAUCUGGAACAAUCUAACAGCCUAAACUGUUAACAGCAGUGUAAAGAAACAAACACACAGACAUAGAUUAGAACUCAAACUAGAUUUAUUUUAGAAAUUAAAUCAACUUAGAGUCAUUUGUUCACACAUGUGGCUGAAUAGGAGGCCGUCCAAUCAGAUUCGAGGUCUUCACUCUGUAGUAGUGAGCGUGAGAUGAAGCCUCAUGAGGCAUUGAACCACUUGAGCCAAUUGGUUCGAGAAACGGUUCAUUUCUUGAAGCUUCAUGAGCACACAAAGCCACCUACUGGCCAGGUGUAUAAUCACAGGCAGCUGUAUCUGAACCACAUGUCUGAUGCACUGAAAUUUUAUCGGUUAUGGCUGUUGGGAAUGACUAUGAAAUACAAGAAAAUGUAUGACCAAAUAAUUUCUGUAGAUAAAUUCUCACGUGUAGAAUACUGACCGCAACUCUCUAUCAAAAACCCACAUUUUGAACGGAGCCUGAGGGGCAAAAUCUGAACCACUUUCCGAAGCAGUCACGUGGUUUAGCCAGGCAGCGAGGCUUCGGACGUCAUCAUUUUGGCUCCUCCCCUAAAUAAAGCAAGCCUCGAUACGCGCUUCGUGGAAACGCCCCCUCCAUUACUCGGCACACGCUUCGAAGCCUCGGCACGUCUCCUCACAUUACUACUCUGUAGGUUGUUUGUUCGGUGAGACUCUUGGACCUCCAUCAGCUGACAUGGAUGUUUGAUGGUCUUCCUCUCUAGUGCCAGAUGAUUCAUCCAUGAAUUCAGCAGCUACAGACUGAAAUGAAGCUCAUGCUGCCGUUAUUGAAUUCCUGUUCCAGAUCAAAUGUUCAGAGCUCACCUUGAAUGCAUGUCGUCUGCUGUCUGAUAGUUUUUCUCAUUGUAGUCUUCAAUAAAGUCUUUUCCUCAUGUCAGGAUGUGGUGAGACUCUUUCUCAGUCGCUGCAGACGUCCCUCAUUGUGCAUCUCCAGAGAAGAAACAGAAAAACUGGUCACUGCUUCAGCAUCACAAACGCUCUCCAGCAUUGAGUGUUUUAGGAAUUAAUUCAUUGUGUUGUGAACUUUGAAGGAGCAGAAACUUUACAGCUGCCAAAUAUAUGAGCUCCAAUUCUGGAUGUUUUAGGAAAUGAAGUUCAUCAAAUGAACACUUGAUUUCUGCUGAUAACUCAUUAAAUUACUGAAGAAAUCUCACAUAAAAACCUGUAAACUCUCAGGCAGCUUUUGUUAAAGUUUGUCUAUAAUUCUAUCAUCAUGUUCUGGAACCAGGACUCUGCAGAAGUUCCUUCAAACAGAUACUUGUGUGUUUCUAUUUAAGGCCUCAGGUUUGAAAGUACAGCAGAGGAUUAGAAAGGAGUGAUUUUAAUGUUUAAAUCAGUCCAGUAAAUGUUUGGCGUGAAAAUUAUUAAAAUUUAGAUAGAUUUGUGUCAAAUAAUAUUGUAGAGUCUCACUUAAAUAUAUCCAAAUGAGUUCAGUGUAUUUACAUUUUAUAGAAUAUUUGAUUUCUUAAUCUCAAUACUGUCGGGUCUGACCCUAAAUAUUAUAAUAAUGAUGUCGAUUUAAAUAAUAUUUUAGUGCAGAGUUAUAAACUUUAAUCAGCUAAACUUGCAUAAUAAAUAUCACUGUACAAUCUUAACCUGAACAUUCAUAUUAUUGAGGUAAAUUUACAUAGAUCAUUAUAUUCUAGAGUCUUAACUGGAAUAUUUCUAACAUCAAUCUUUUUGUAUUGCACUGAUAAACAACAAUACCCUGACUUUCAGAUAAUAUUUAUUGUCUGUGAUUGUGAGACUAAAUUCCUCCACAUUUGAGAACAUUCCCUGCAGCAGCUGUAGGAAUAAAUAAAAAUAAAAUCUGUUCAUUUCCACAUUAUGCACAUUUAUUUAUUCUUAAUAUCUCAGACUGAAUGGUAGCUGGCAGUAAAAACAAACUCAUCUGCUGGACUGAAUUUCCCACAAUGGAAACAUGGACAGAAUUUAACACUUAUAUCCAUGGCAAAGCUAAAGUUUCUGCUUCGUACCAAAGUUCAAAACACAAGUAAAGAUUUUAAUGUAAAUCUUCAGGGAUGACUGCUAACCGUAAGUAUUCUGAUCAAUACUUCAUGAUCAAUAUCAGGACAGAUGUUACAACUCCAGCUGUUGCAUUAGACUGCAGUUAUUCACAGAGAAAUUAAAACAUCACAUUCCUCAUAAAAACUAGAUGGGACUUUUAUUAAAUAAAGUGUUGGUGAAUAAACAGUGUAAAAAGUGCAAAGCAGCUCCAUUAAAUCAGGAGAUGUGAGACUUCCACAGCAUGGAUCACCAUCUGCUGUGUUGAUUCAUAGCUGAAUGUCAGAAUGAACUGAGCUAGAAAAGCUGGUUUGAGCUGCAACAUUACGGUCUGACAAUCCAACACCAGCAUAGUUUUCAUCUGGUUGUUUUGCUCCAACAUGCUGUAAAGUUCAGUUUUUAACUGAAUCAAUACAGAGAUUCUAUUUCCAACCAAGACUGAAAUAAAAAUUAGAAUGUUAUGAGGUUAUUAAUGCAACUAAAUCCUUUCAGAUGGAAGGAUUUACUUCUAAGUUCUAAUUCAAGUUUCAGUUGGAGCACAUUGCAUUCACAAAGAAAAACAGCAAAACCUUCAUAGCAACAUUUAAUAAACCUAAAGCUUCCCUGUUGGCACAUUGGUGGAGUUUGUUACUGAGCAUCUGAACCUUAAAUCCAGUGAGACGACCAUCUUCAGUCGAGGCCAGUCAGAGAACUUCAAGACCUUCCAUCAGCUGGACCAGAUGUGGCAUCAUCUCCCUCUGAACAUCUGGAUGACAGGAGAAAAGACAGAAAUCAAACACAGAUCACAGAAAUACAAUUUAUUCACUUUCAUCAUUUUAUAAAAGUAGCAUGAACUUUAUUAAAACUUGACAACAUCAGUAAUGAAAGUAAAUGUUUUUAUCUUGUGUUGAAGCUAAAUUUAAAGUCAAUUUUAAUGACAGUUUAUCCUGAGAGGAGUGAGAAUGGAGCUUUUCUUUCCUUUUUAGAAUAUUCCCUCAAAAUAUGCUGUUUAUUAUUGACUUUAGAAGCAUUUUUCUUUACUUAUUUAUUUUUAGAUACCUCAGACUGAUGCACUUUGCUGGUUUGCAGAUAAUUUCAUGUACAAUGACAAUAAAGAUCUUCUAUUAUAACAUAUUUUUCUAAAACAAGAACUGCAAACCUUCUCAACCAUCUCUCAGGCUGCAAAAUUCCAACUGCAACAAAGAAUUAUCUGAUGUAGUUAUGAUUAUAAUCUUUACUGAACCAGCCCUGGAAUUAAUAAAAAUC